rnacentral:rRNA from 1 species
AGGACGAACGCUGGCGGCGUGCUUAACACAUGCAAGUCGAACGGAAAGGCCCUUCGGGGUACUCGAGUGGCGAACGGGUGAGUAACACGUGGGUGAUCUGCCCCGCACUUUGGGAUAAGCCUGGGAAACUGGGUCUAAAUACCGAAUAGGACCAUGGCAUGCAUGUGCUGUGGUGGAAAGCUUUUGCGGUGUGGGAUGGGCCCGCGGCCUAUCAGCUUGUUGGUGGGGUUAAGGCCUACCAAGGCGACGACGGGUAGCCGGCCUGAGAGGGUGUCCGGCCACACUGGGACUGAGAUACGGCCCAGACUCCUACGGGAGGCAGCAGUGGGGAAUAUUGCACAAUGGGCGCAAGCCUGAUGCAGCGACGCCGCGUGGGGAUGACGGCCUUCGGGUUGUAAACCCUUCAGUAGGGACGAAGCGCAAGUGACGGUACCUACAGAAGAAGCACCGGCCAACUACGCGCCAGCAGCCGC